UAGCGUAUAUUAAAGUUGUUGCAGUUAAAAAGCUCGUAGUUGAAUUUCGGGGUUAGUAGGUUGGUCAUGCCUCUGGUAUGUACUGGUCUCACUGAUUCCUCCUUCCUGAUGAGCCGUAAUGCCAUUAAUUUGGUGUUGCGGGGAAUUUGGACUGUUACUUUGAAAAAAUUAGAGUGUUUAAAGCAGGC
rnacentral:rRNA from 1 species